UUAGUUCUGUCGGCGUAUCCGUCAGAAGAGCGACUUCUUUACUAAACUACAGCGGGAAAAGGGGGAAUCCUUGUGCUUUGAGCGCCUCGUAUUUAAGACGCUCGCACAGAUGUACGGAAAUGGCUGAAGGACAGGUGAAAAUCACAGCAGCGAGAACUUAUCACCAAAGGUGACACCGAGAAUCAAAGAGGCUCAGACCCGCUGGGUUGCCAUGUUUAAGCCUCAGGGAUUCCCUCCCUGUGGGACGAGUGGAAGAGGGAGCUGAAAAUAAUAGUAGAGAGCGAGAUAAGCCUGGAGGUUAAUGCAGAGGCGUCUCUCCUCCGUCCUCGGCAGUGACAGCCCCUGACAGGCGGACCCCAGCAGCACGCCUUGUUUAUGUUAAUGUGGGUGGCUGGGGCCAGCUCCCACGCUGCGCCGCGCAGAUAGAGACAUCAGGGACCCAUCGACUGGCGCCGGAGACCUCUGGCUGGGCUGCCAGGAUCUCCGUGUUCUUGGGGCCGGGGAGACGGGGAGAGCGCCAGGCGUGAAACUCCCAACUUCAGAGUGUCGACUGCCCGCCUGUGGAUUCAGGUCCAA